ACCCAGCAAUCAACCAAACAAAGCGGCGAUGGACGGCGGCAAGAAGAGCCGGAACCCGCACAAGGUCCCCGCGGACUACCGCAGCGACCGCAAGUCGGCCUCCGGGAUGAGCGGCGACCCCAAGAAGGGCGGCCGCGGCGGCAAGUUCACCUGGGAGGGCGCCGACGGCUACGCCGACGAGGACGUCGGCCUCGUCUCCUCCAAGAACGCCAACACCAACCGCGCCACCAAGGGUGGAGGCGCCGCCGGCGCCAAGAAGGACGACGACGACGACGAGUAGGCCGGCCUCUCGCCGCCUCGGCCCGCCCUCCCCCCGUCGAUCGCCAGCAAGAACCAACAAGUCCUUCCUACCUAGUUUGAUUCCAGUCUCAGUUCGAUUCUCGUGUUGAAUAAAUCAUGAUCGUGUGGGUUUAGGUGUCGUGC
rnacentral:lncRNA from 1 species